rnacentral:rRNA from 1 species
CGCGCAGGCUGUAGAUCAAGUCAGCUGUGAAAUGUCUGGGCUUAACCCGGGCAUGCGGUUGAAACUGAUGUACUGGAGUGCUGUAGAGGCAAGUGGAAUUCCCAGUGUAGCGGUGAAAUGCGUAGAUAUUGGGAAGAACACCGGUGGCGAAGGCGACUUGCUGGGCAGCAACUGACGCUGAGGCGCGAAAGCCAGGGGAGCAAACG